rnacentral:tRNA from 3 species
GGGUGCGUAACUCAGUUGGAUAGAGUAGCUGCCUUCUAAGCAGUUUGUCACAGGUUCGAGUCCUGUCGCACCCG